GACGGAGGAUGCAAGCGUUAUCCGGAAUCAUUGGGCGUAAAGGGCGCGUAGGUGGCCCGGUCAGCGUGCGGUGAAAGCUCGGGGCUCAACCCCGAGUCGGCCGUGCGAACUGCUGGGCUGGAGCACUGUAGAGGCAGGCGGAAUUCCGGGUGUAGCGGUGGAAUGCGUAGAGAUCCGGAAGAACACCGGUGGCGAAGGCGGCCUGCUGGGCAGUGGCUGACACUGAGGCGCGACAGCGUGGGGAGCAAACAGG
rnacentral:rRNA from 1 species